rnacentral:rRNA from 1 species
UACAGAGGGUGCGAGCGUUAAUCGGAAUUACUGGGCGUAAAGCGUGCGUAGCCGGCUAUCUAAGUCGGGUGUGAAAGCCCCGGGCUCAACCUGGGAAGUGCACUCGAAACUGCAGAGCUCGAGUCCUGGAGAGGAAGGCGGAAUUCUCGGUGUAGAGGUGAAAUUCGUAGAUAUCGAGAGGAACACCGGUGGCGAAGGCGGCCUUCUGGACAGUGACUGACGCUGAGACGCGAAAGCGUGGGGAGCAAACAGG